rnacentral:rRNA from 1 species
UACGUAGGGUGCGAGCGUUGUCCGGAAUUAUUGGGCGUAAAGAGCUCGUAGGCGGUCUGUCCGCGUCGGUCGUGAAAACUUGGGGCUUAACCCUGAGCUUGCGGUCGAUACGGGCAUGACUGGAGUUCGGUAGGGGAGACUGGAAUUCCUGGUGUAGCGGUGAAAUGCGCAGAUAUCAGGAGGAACACCGGUGGCGAAGGCGGGUCUCUGGGCAGUAACUGACGCUGAGGAGCGAAAGCGUGGGGAGCGAACAGG